GUAAAAAAAUUUCUGCGAAUGAAAUAUUUCGUUAAAAAUUUCCUGGCAACGUUUUCCAGCACUGAGUUCUUCGUUCCGCAAAAUCGCUGUUAUUAUUAAUGCACCCGUAUUUUCUACCGCACAAACUCUUCUGUAUAUAUAAUAAUAUACAUAUUACUAGACUGUGAUUGGUUGAUUUCAGUGCAGUUAAUCUCAAACAGCAGUGCAAAAUUCUGCAUGUAACAAGAGUAAGUUGCAUUCAAAUGCAUGGUAAAUUUUCUCCCUUUUUCUACAGGAUUUCCAAGUGUUGGCUUCAAAAAUGUGAAACCCUUAACUCUUUCAUCCUUGGCUGGUAUCUAUAACCGUUCGUCUUGAAGAAUAAAAAUAAAUUCCAUGUCACUUAUGCACAGAGACAUAUGCAACCAUGAACUGAAAUAGUAAUAAACCUUGUUGUUGUGUUUUUGAACUUAAAUUAAGAAUUAUUGUAGUUUGUAAUACUUUGGUGUUACGUGUAAAUAUAACUUGUAAAAUUAAAACGAGCGUCCAUACACUGUCGUCAUAUAUUGGUGAUUUGCAAGACUAAAAUAUGGCGCCAUGUUGGGGGAAAACCAUAGGUUUCCCAAAAAGGUCUUUUAUUUUUAAAAACAUCCAUAAAAUUGCUUUGAAAGCAAUGCUUAUUCUCGCUUAAUUCAUUUACAAUCAUCUACACUAAAACCUAUUAUUCGUAGUGCAUGCGCAUAUCACUGGCGAGAUAUAUCAGCAACGCUAUCUUUUCGGGAGACCUAUGUACAAUAGCUGCUAAUGAUAUCCUAAGUUUUGUCAACGUUCCUCCAACAUGACCAGCAUGACGUCAGGUGCAAACCAAGAAUUGUGCAGUUUUGUUUGCAAACUGAGCGCACUGGUUUACACGAAAGUAAUGAUAUGUGAAAAAAAAUCUUCAUAAUUGCUUAAAG